UAGAAAAUCACUGUCUCACAAGCACGAUGGAAUGGAACCCUCAAACUCUUCAACUCGUCUCCGAAUGCUUCCUCAACACUCUCUCUCAAGCACAAGAGCCUCGCCGCCGCGCCGAAUCCUCCCUAGUUGAAGCAGCCGAUCUUCCAAACUAAUACCUCGUCUUACUCCGUCUUGUCCUCGAACAAGCUGUUGGUGAGCAGAUCCAUUAAUCCACCGCCGUCAACUUAAAAAACCACCUCCGUCUCCGAUGGGUGUUAAAAGACAGUUCUAUCCUUGAUUUCGAGAUGGAACAGAUCAAAAUCCUAAUCGUCUCUCUAGUGCUCUCCGCUAGUCCCAAAAUCCAAUCUCAGUUUAGUGAAACCCUAGCUAUCAUUGACAACCAUGAUUUCUCCAAAUCAUGGCCAUCGCUCUACCUGAACUCUUCGUCUAUCUCCAAAAUGCAUCUCAAGUUAAUGAUUACGCUUCCAUUAAUGGUAUUCUAGGUACUGCUAAUUCAAUUUUCAGUAAAUUUCGUAAACAAUAUAAAUCCUCCGAUCUCUGGAUUGAUUUAAAGUAUUGUCUCGAUAAUUUUGCUGCUCCCUUUGCUUGAAAUUUUUCUUAAGUCUGCAUCGUUAAUUGUCCUUGCUGCAACUGUGGUACCAUCACCACCUGCAGCAAAUCUGGUUUAGUCGCAUAAACUGUGUUGUAGUUUAUUUUUGUCAUUGAAUUUUCAAGAGCUCCCUGAGUUCUUUGAGGAUCACAUGAAGGAAUGGAUGAUUGAGUUCCAAAAAUACCUCACUACUAGGAUCACAUGAAGGAAUGUAUCAUAUUGAUUUAUUGAUAUGGUCUGAUGUUAACAUGUAAUGAUAUUUUCCAAAUUUGUUGUUAAAGCUCGUUUGAUGUUUGAUUCUUACAUAUGAAAUUUAGGUACGAGACAAACCUUCGCAUAAAAGCUGAGUCUUAUGCAGCCUCAGUUGAAGAUAAAGAAGCAUCUUUAGAAGGUAGGUUAGGCCAGCUUUCAGAGAGCAUAGAGAGAGUGAAUAAAAUAGAGUUCAGGAUGAUAAUUCACAACUGAAAUGUGACUCAGAGUUUUCUAUUUCUAAAUAAAUGCAAAUGCAGCUUGAACAAGUGGAAUGCAAGCUAAUAAUGCAGAGAUAGAAGUAGAGCUGCUAAAAGAGCAACUGGAACAUCUUAAGGACCAAUUCAAUGAGCUUUGCGUGUGUUGGUUCUAUUUGGUGGUGCUACAAAAUGGAUCCUUCCAUGCAGACACUUCAGAGGAUUUCAGGUGAAUGACAUUUUUACAUUUCUUCGCAUUUUAUCACCUAAUGGCUGGUCAAACUCUGAAAACAUUGCUAAUAUUGACUCCUAUGUAAAAGGUUUGUUAGUUGAAUGAUCAAAUUUGGUUUGAAUUGAGUUUGUAUGUAUUAGUAUGAUGAUGGUUAAGGUGAAAAUGUAAAAUGCAAUUUAUCAUUCUUGUAUAUUGUCAAUUUUAUUUUUCCUUAUAGCUGAUUGUGUACAGUUCUAUUGAUCCUUAUGCAGUUUAUAAUUCGAAUUAUUAAUAAUAUUUACAAUUGUGGUUG